rnacentral:rRNA from 1 species
GAUGAACGCUGGCGGCGUGCCUAACACAUGCAAGUCGAGCGGCAGCGAGGGGUGCUUGCACCCUGUCGGCGAGCGGCGGACGGCUGAGUAACGCGUGGGAACGUGCCCCAAAGUGAGGAAUAACUGCCCGAAAGGGUAGCUAAUACCGCAUAUUAUCUUCGGAUCAAAGGAUUUAUCCGCUUUGGGAGCGGCUCGCGUCGGAUUAGGUAGUUGGUGAGGUAAUGGCUCACCAAGCCGACGAUCCGUAGCUGGUCUGAGAGGAUGACCAGCCAGACUGGAAAUGAGACACGGUCCAGACUCCUACGGGAGGCAGCAGUGAGGAAUCUUCCACAAUGGGCGAAAGCCUGAUGGAGCAACGCCGCGUGCAGGACGAAGGCCUUCGGGUUGUAAACUGCUUUUAUAAGUGAGGAAUAUGACGGUAACUGAUGAAUAAGGAUCGGCUAACUACGUG